AAUUCUCAACCUAACCAGCUUUUGUGAGCUUGGGAUAGGCUUGGAUUGUGGGGGUUUCUUGCGGGCUUCAUCUAGAGGUCGGCUCCCCUUAAAAGCAUUAGUGGAACCUUUUGUUGACCUGUUUCCUGGUGUGAUAAUUAUCUACAUCGUGUGCAGUCAGCUAUCUAACAGGUUUCUGCUUCCAACUCGUAUCACCCUUUUUACUUGGGGGGACGCUUUGACCAU
rnacentral:misc_RNA from 1 species